ensembl:lncRNA TMEM72-AS1 TMEM72 antisense RNA 1
CCCGCCCCGCUCCCCGCCUCUCGCCCGGCACGGCCAAAGGUGCCGCCCCGGUCUCUCCGUCCCGCCCCGAGCACGCCCCUCACUCCGCACCGGCCAAUGGCACCGCCCCGUCCGCCCCGCUCUGGGAACGCCGCUCCAGCAGAUGUGACAUAGACUGGAAGUGAUGGACCCAGACAACAAUCAGAACCAAAGCACCAGAUGAGCCACCUCAGCCACGUGAGCCAUGCCAGCCACCCUACCUGUGACCCCAUCUGUGGCCCCAGUUAUCAUGGAGUAGAGCCCUUUCUCUGUCUACAAAACCAACUUCCUCGCCCAGCUCAUGGGAACACUUAUUCUGUUGUAUAGAAUGAAGUGUUGCUUGAUUCUAGAAUCAUGCCAUUAAGAACAUUCAUGAUUCAUGAGAGGAGAUCAAAAUAUCAACAUAAACAGGAGUUUGAAAGAAGUUGAUUUCAACCCUUGUGGAUGACUAUGAGAGAUUCAAGGCUUCAGUGGAGAAUGCACCUACAGAUAUGGUGGAAACAGCAAAAGAAAUAGAAUCAGAAGUGGAGCCUGAAGAUUAAACUGAAUUGCUGCAAUCUCAUGAUAAAACUUGAACAGAUGAGGAGUUGCUUCUUACAGGUCUGUGGAUCAACACUGUCUCCCUGGCCUCUACCCAGCGCGCAGGACCCCUUAGCAGAGCAGGAGAACUCAGGAUCCAGCCAGCUGCCGGCACACUUUCGUCCUCCUCCGCACACGAGGAUCCCCAGGCCCAGCGGUGUUAGCCCAGAGAGGAGCGGCGUUUGGGAUGUGAUCCACAGCUGAUCCCUCGUGGCCCCUCCUCUCCCGAAUCCUGAAACAUGAGGAGGCCCUUCAGCUGCUGGCUCGGAGUCCGACUAUGGGAACUUUCUCCGGUCUACGGGGGCAGCAAGGGUCUCGCCUCAGGGACUUGGUUUAUUUAUCUAGCUGGACUCCAUCCCUUAAUAUCCUACUUACAGAGGAAGAGGCUUUAGCAGCUAAAUGCAGCCCCAUCCCCUCCUGUGGAGACUGUGAGCAGAAAAAGAACAGAUAUUUACAGAGGCCCGAGCCCCCCUUGUUGUUUUCUGCAAGGCUGUCGAGCUGGUGGAGCUUCAGGAUCCUGGUCAGGAACCCCGAACCCAGCGCUGGAGGCCCUGAAGAUCAGGGCACCCGACCCUCUUCCCAGCCGCCAAAGGCCUGUGUUGGUCUGAUUGUGGAUUCCAAGCUCUAAUUUCCAUCCAUCCUCCCAAUCCGAAUUCCCUUUGCAGACAUAAACACCAUCAGCAAUGUAGAGAAUGUGUUUCCUCAUCUUUGAAUAUUAACACUCAUCUGUUUAAUUGAGCUACUUUUUACAUACAUGUAAGAUGUGCUGCAAUUGCAAAAGAAACAUGUGCUUCGUGUUCUAUAAGCCAUAUCUUCCGCAAGACCUGCCAUCAAAUGAUUGCUCAAACAUUUGUUGAAUGGGAUGAGCAAUGGAGGUUCAGACAGGUGCCCUGACCUACCCAGGCUGGAGGGUAGGGAGCUAGAAAUUCAUACAACCAUGCCUUGUUCUACUUGUUUUGUGAAAGAAUCAUGUGACCAGUGACAAAGAGGCUGGGCAGCUGGGUCAGGCAGCAGGGACAGCGACUGAGCUGGGGGGACUACAGUGCUGUGCUCCUCUGCACCCGUGCUGGGAUGUCUGAGGCCAAGCUGACACUGGCCCCCCACAAUCCCUUGGGGCUGCUCCUCCUCAGGGAGUGGCUCUCCGGGUUUCCUGCUUGACUCCUGCUGCUCUUGUGUUGAAGGGCCGUCUCUGGGCAGCUCCCCCUGGCCCCUGGCCAGAGAGCCAGGCCCUGUCAGGCACGCACAUGGAGGAUGAGGGAGGUGCAGUUGUUUUCACAGGUGCAGACUCUAGAGGGACCCCACGUGGACUCUGUGGCUUCUGCCCCGACGCACUCGCGGGAGGACACAGCUCUGCCCGGAAGGGAGAGUGCUGAGCUGGGUCCCUGCUGCUCAUCUCUGUGGCAUCACCCUGUCAGUCCUUCCCUGUCACACAUAUGUUCCGCAAGACCUGCCGUCAAAUAUUUGCUCAGUCAAACAUUUGUUGAAUGGGAUGAGCCAUGGAGGUUCAGACAGAUGCCGUGACCUGAAGUGUCAAAUGAAGGGAUGCGUGUGUGAUGGCCUUCACCAUUUAUAUUGUUUUAAACUUGCUAAGCACUAGUUAAAAUAAAAAAGCCAACACUUUUCUUUA